rnacentral:rRNA from 1 species
GACGAACGCUGGCGGCGUGCUUAACACAUGCAAGUCGAACGGAAAGGCCUCUUUCGGGGGGUACUCGAGUGGCGAACGGGUGAGUAGCACGUGAGUAACCUGCCCUUGACUUUGGGAUAACUUCAGGAAGCUGGGGCUAAUACCGGAUAGGAGCUCCUGCUGCAUGGUGGGGGUUGGAAAGUUUCGGCGGUUGGGGAUGGACUCGCGGCUUAUCAGCUUGUUGGUGGGGUAGUGGCUUACCAAGGCUUUGACGGGUAGCCGGCCUGAGAGGGUGACCGGCCACAUUGGGACUGAGAUACGGCCCAGACUCCUACGGGAGGCAGCAGUGGGGAAUAUUGCACAAUGGGUGGAAGCCUGAUGCAGCAACGCCGUGUGCGGGAUGACGGCCUUCGGGUUGUAAACCGCUUUCGCUCAUGACGAAGCUUUGUGUGACGGUAGUGGGUAAAGAAGCACCGGCUAACUACGUG